UACCAGCACCCCGAGUGGUCGGGACGAUUAUUGGGCCUAAAGCAUCCGUAGCCGGCCUUACAAGUCCUCCGUUAAAUCCAGCUGCUUAACAGAUGGGCUGCGGAGGAUACUAUAAGACUAGGAGGCAGGAGAGGCAAGCGGUACUCAGUGGGUAGGGGUAAAAUCCGUUGAUCCAUUGAAGACCACCAGUGGCGAAGGCGGCUUGCCAGAAUGCGCUCGACGGUGAGGGAUGAAGGCUGGGGGAGCAAACCGG
rnacentral:rRNA from 1 species